rnacentral:rRNA from 1 species
UACACUCCUGCGGGAGGCAGCAGUGGGGAAUUUUGGACAAUGGGCGAAAGCCUGAUCCAGCAAUGCCGCGUGAGUGAAGAAGGCCUUCGGGUUGUAAAGCUCUUUUGUCAGGGAAGAAACGGUGAAAGCUAAUAUCUUUUGCUAAUGACGGUACCUGAAGAAUAAGCACCGGCUAACUACGUGCCAGCAGCCGCGGUAAUACGUAGGGUGCAAGCGUUAAUCGGAAUUACUGGGCGUAAAGCGUGCGCAGGCGGUUUUGUAAGUCUGAUGUGAAAUCCCCGGGCUCAACCUGGGAAUUGCAUUGGAGACUGCAAGGCUAGAAUCUGGCAGAGGGGGGUAGAAUUCCACGUGUAGCAGUGAAAUGCGUAGAUAUGUGGAGGAACACCGAUGGUGAAGGCAGCCCCCUGGGUCAAGAUUGACGCUCAUGCACGAAAGCGUGGGGAGCAAACAGGAUUAGAAACCCCAGUAGUCCC